rnacentral:lncRNA from 1 species
GGCGCCAUUUCCUGCCAACCGGGAAGCAGAUCUCCAGGACUGGCGGCCCGGUUCACCGAGUGAGUUUCAGUACUUCGCGUCCAAACUUGCGCGCUGACGCGCUCAGCGCCGGGUCCUCCACACUCCCGGGCCCCCGCGGCUGUUACCGUCCCAGCCGCGGGGAGCCCCGCCUAGUCUGGAGGCGCUCUGCCGCGGGGGCCGGACCCACACCUAUUUCUGGGAAUCUGGCCUCCCGGAAAGAAGGCCAGACUCAGGGACUAUGCCCUGUUCCCCAGCCCUCCAGGGCCCCACCUACUCUGAACAAUAAGACUAGAGCCUUUCUCAGCCUGGACUGUCUUGCUACACAUUCUGCCAUCUGCUCCACCCUACAGCGUAGAGAUCUGAUUGACAGUACUGUCCUUGUUGGGUGA